rnacentral:rRNA from 1 species
AUACGGAGGGUGCGAGCGUUAAUCGGAAUUACUGGGCGUAAAGCGUACGUAGGCGGUUGGUUAAGUUAGAUGUGAAAGCCCCGGGCUUAACCUGGGAACUGCAUUUAAAACUGGCGAACUAGAGUUGAGUAGAGGGGAGUGGAAUUUCAGGUGUAGCGGUGAAAUGCGUAGAGAUCUGAAGGAACACCAGUGGCGAAGGCGACUCCCUGGACUCGAACUGACGCUGAGGUACGAAAGCGUGGGGAGCAAACGGAAUUAGAAACCCCAGUAGUCC